rnacentral:rRNA from 1 species
AUGCACGCUGGCGGCGUGCCUAAUACAUGCAAGUCGCGCGAACAGACGAGGAGCUUGCUCCUCUGACGUUAGCGGCGGACGGGUGAGUAACACGUGGAUAACCUACCUAUAAGACUGGGAUAACUUCGGGAAACCGGAGCUAAUACCGGAUAAUAUAUUGAACCGCAUGGUUCAAUAGUGAAAGACGGUUUUGCUGUCACUUAUAGAUGGAUCCGCGCCGCAUUAGCUAGUUGGUAAGGUAACGGCUUACCAAGGCAACGAUGCGUAGCCGACCCGAGAGGGUGAUCGGCCACACUGGAACUGAGACACGGUCCAGACUCCUACGGGAGGCAGCAGUAGGGAAUCUUCCGCAAUGGGCGAAAGCCUGACGGAGCAACGCCGCGUGAGUGAUGAAGGUCUUCGGAUCGUAAAACUCUGUUAUUAGGGAAGAACAAAUGUGUAAGUAACUAUGCACGUCUUGACGGUACCUAAUCAGAAAGCCACGGCUAACUACGUG